UGUUCCCCGCAGUGGAAGUGGUUGACGUGGUCAGAAAUGUUUCUAGGUGUGUUUCUGUGGGGAGUCAUUUAUCAGAUGCACACAGGAACCACAAUUUGUGGUCUACAUUCAGAUUUUCUAUUUUGAUUUGGCUUCAGCAUGUCAAUUUGUCAAGUGUGAGGGCAAAGUUGGAUAGAGUCCAAGUGCUGCAGCUGUGACGGACUGAGAGGUUGACUGCACAUGGGUUUGUGACUAAAAGCUUUUCCACAAUGAAGACUGAUCUUGGACAGGACAUGAGUGGGAUUAAAAGACACUUUGGCCACCACAGCAAGGAUGAAUAAAUUCCUACUUGUCUCCAGGACACCUAAGAGGACACUUCGGGUUAUUGGUUUUGGAAUGAUCCCCAGCUCCUCUCAACGGCCAUUAAUGAGAAGCUGUAAAACAAAUGGAAAAGAGAAGAGUGAGAAUGUAAAUACGUUUCUUCGCUGCAAAGGUCGUCACCUUUCUCUGUUUUUGUUAGUCAGUUAUUGCAAGAUGAGGCAGGGUUCUCAGUUUGACUAGUGCUGGCAAGAAAUAAAUUAAUAGAUGUUGAUACUUUCAAGUUCAGUAUGUACUAGUGUGUACUGUUUCCAAGAUAUAGCCACAGCUUUACCUUUUCCCGCCUACUCUGCUUUUAUAUAUUUAUUAGUAACUGCCAGCAAUUGAAAUGGAAGCAUUGCAAAGUUGGACAGUGCACUAUUAUUUGUUUGACCAAGUGAAGGUUGCUGAAAGCUGCCCUAAUAAUUAUUAUUUUUUUAUUAACAAUGGCUCAAAUAAUGAUGUGUAAUAUAAAAGGGGUACCAACAGGAAUUAUCACCACGCUCAGCUCUAUGAAGCAUUUUAGCGUCCUUCAGCUUGCUGUUUUGGUGUUACGGCCCGCGACUUUACUGUUUUGGUUCAGUCUCACUACUCUCGUCAACCUAAUUUCCAGCAGCAGCAGGCAGCUAUUUUCAGCAAAAAGGCUCUGAUAAACCAACUGUACACUACUUACCCAUCACCAUAUGUAAGACAGACAAAGUUAGUGAGUAGCCGGUGAACAUAGUGGCGCAUUUAGCUGCUAAAGAGCCAGAAGUUGAAGACCAAACAGUAGCUAAAAAGAGAGUGAAUAUUGGACUUAGAUUUGUCAGGUGACCUGAAACACAACUACAAAUUAAUGCUAGAUAGCAACUAGCUAAAAAGGAGAGUGAACUGAGUGAAUUGAACUUACAUUCAUCAGGUGGACACAAACACAACUCCAAAUGAAUGCUAAUGUUGCUCUGUGUCUGCUGAAUGAGUAAAUAGGCACUCUUGAGGACUAAAAGGUGCCCAAAGCCUUAGACUCAAAAAUGUGGAUUGCGUGCAAUGUGGAUUCAAACAUGAUUUUCCCAAACUUUAAAUAAUUACUUUCAUGAGGCACUAGGUGAGUUUGCAUGUUUGCGGUUUUAGACAGUGGUGACAAAAACAUAUGAAAACUGUUUGAACUUCAAUAGUGAUAAAUCAUAUAAUGUGACGGUAGUAAGCUGUUCAUGUUUACCCAGCCAGCCAGUCUGCGAUCACUUUAUACCAAAGGAUACCAGAGAGAUGAGAGAAGCCAAAGAUCUAAUGUUACAGAAGCCGGCUGUCUUCUGGACAGAGUGUUUGCAGUUUGUAUUUGUAUCAGAUCAUCAGUCUGUUUGGGUGGAGUUUUCAGCAAAUCUCUAACGUGUCAGUUAGGGGGAACGAGACACAGCGCUUGAGGCAGCCACUGUUUUUGAUUUAUGCUAAUAAAAUGGGCUCAUUCUUACAUUAAAAUCUCAGACAAAAAAUGACAAUUGUUGUCUUUCCCCGGGGCCCCAAAUAAAGAUUCUUGUCAUCCUUUUGGGCUGAAGAAUCCAACUACCUUCACAUUUUAAACAAAAUACUUUUCCUGUUCAUACAUUAACUUAUUUUAUUAUAUCUCCUUGCUUGUUUUUCCAAACCUGACUGUAACAGCGUGUGAGUAUAACCAAGCUCCAGAAAUCACAGGCAACCUGUGGAUUCCCAUAGCCUGACAGCCCCAUCGCGCAUAUGCUACCUGGGAUACCACAUAACCACAAAAACACAAGACGCUGUGUGUAUGUGUGUGUGUGUGAGAGAGAGAGCAAAUGAGAAACAGGCUGAAGAGACAAGCACAUUUUACUUAACCCAUGUGCUUUAAUCCCCAGGUCUGCACGUUGUCGACUAAAUGGCAUUUGUUUUGAUCUGCGCGUAAGCAAAUCAAUAUGCUGUGUCUAAUAUUUGCCAUUUUUCAGCAGACUGGACUGGUUCACACAAUGCUCUGCUGAACCAACACACGUGGGAUUCAAGGGGGACAGAAAAGGCAGGAAUGCCUUCACGUGCAUAUAUAUCUCAGUUUAUGAGAAACACAUGCCUGCUAUAGCUUUGAAUGGAGAUAUUGCAUGAUUUUUUUUAAAAUAAUAACUUUGCCAUACUGUAUGGAAGUGGCUUGAUUUGAUUAAAAUACUGCCACAGUUGAAACAUUUUUUAAGCUGGACUUACAAAAAAAAGAAAUUAAGUGAUGCAAGAUUAUGACAUAUGUCUUUUAUGUUAUCCAAGCUGUGGUUAAACCUGGUCAGAGUCCUACAGUGUGCGUCUGGCCCCUGUCUUUCACUGUGCCUUCGCAGCUUGGAGCCAGGUCUGCUAUGAGGAUUGUCGGCUCGGAUCUGCUGUGCUGUAGCAUUCCCCAGACUGCACACACACUGAGGCUGCAGAGUGGGUCAGUAGGACAAUGAUGUGUGUGUGUCCGUUUGUCUGGGUUUCAGUUUUAUUUUGAUCUAUAACCCUACUGGGGAUCUGAUGUCCAGAAUGGAUGAUUGCACAGUUGGCAAUACUUUUAAUGGGGAUUUUUUCAUUGGGCUGCAUGAUGUGAAAUAGAAAAAGAAGCGAAACUAUUCAACAACAUCCAUAAAAACAUUCACAUACACAUAAACUGACUUUAAUCCCUAGACCACUAUAUAUCAUAUCUCCAUGCUGUAAUCUUCCUUUUAUGGCAUGUUGUCCAAAGAGCCUCUCAGGUACAUGCACAUUCCACAUUAAGCCAUGCAGUAUCACAUAUAUCUUAAAACUGAGUAAUGCUCAGAGACAUUUGAGGCUCCAGCAGUGAAUCGGCAAGCAAACCGAUACACUCGGCUGACAAUCCCUUAUGCCAAUUUGGCAACCGUUCAGUGUAUUAAUUUACAGCAAAACUUUCCAUGAGGUGGAAUAAGAUGCCAUUUGGAUACGGCAGAGGCAGUGCAGCAGUCUGAUGGAAGAGGGCAAUGUAUGAACAUUUUCCCACAUGACAGUACAUUUUGUAAUGUGACAGCAUUACAUUCUAGCUGUGGUUUUUGUGCUGGACUGUGGGUCGACUGCAUUGUCCUGUGGUCACUGACUAAAUGCCACAUGUCUGGGGAAAAUAUAUGCGAGAGGAAAUGUGACUGCCUUGAAUCAUCAUCUUCCAUAAAGAAAUCCCCCACCAUGUUAUGUCCUCUUUUACGAAAAUUUAAAUGUUUUGAUUUAGAAAAAUUACUCAAGAAAUACAAUGUCUUAUUUUGCAUUUAUAAUGUAAAAAUUAUGCCCUCUUUAGGACUGUCUUCUUUUAAGAAUGCAAUGUCUUCUCUUGGGAAAAUAACGCCCUGUCUUUGGAAAAAUAAUCCCCUGUUUUCAAAUGCUUCCACAGCAAGCCAGUCGUACACGGAAACAAAGGAAGCUGACACUUGAAAGGACAUAAAUCACUUCAGCUUUGCCAAAAAGUUUAAAACAACUCAGCCGAGUGAUGCUGACAAAGCGCUUGAAAAGUGCCUGUUGGUUAUGUACGCCAUUUCUGUGUUUGUGUAUCCACGUGCGUCAGAACUGACCUCUGUUCCCUUUCAACAAAUUCAAAGUGAAUGUCAUGUCUUUAUCAGCCUGUCCAUGAAAUGAGCUACUUUUGUUGCUUGUAUUCAUUAUUCAUAUCAGUUGUUUUUAUUAAAUUCUGCUGUGCCAUAAAGCUAUAAAAGAUAUGAUAUAAAGAUAUGCAACCAUUUUGAGUGUUUGUGUGUGUGUGUGUGUGUGUGUGUGUGUGUGUGUAUGAUAUGUGCAUGUUUCUUUAACAUUGUACUAUACAUGAAAUGAUCCAGACUGAAACAUGAGAAAGUGGUCAUGUGAAGGAAAC